GCUCAAACCAAGAAAACAGCAACACAACAAAGUGUGAUGCUCAAAAAUCAAAUUUAAAAAAUCCCCCAAUUAUAUGGAAUCUAGAGAUUGGCUAGACCGUCCAUAAGGACAUGCUGUUUUUUGUUCUUGUUUUCGUUUGCGGUUUAUUUUUUAAAUUUCUAAUCCAUUGUGGACCGCUAUGUUUUUGUAAAAUACAAUAUAAAUGAGUUACUAAAUAAAAUUUUAAUUAAUUAAUUACUUUUUUGGUUGGCGCCCUCCAGGUGUGGGAUCAGAAUUCCCCAACCAGGGAUGGAACGCACACCCCCGGCAUUAGAAGGUGCAGUCCUAACCACGGAGCCGCCAGGGAAGUCCCACUAAACACUUGUUAAAAGACAUAAAGCUCCAAUCCAAAUAUCUUAACACCAGACCUUUGUAGGCUACCUCCUUUAUGUUCAGCAUGUAUGAAAUGAUUUCGUUUUUUAUAUGCAGCUGCUAUAAAAGUCUGUCUUUCUUUUCGAAGUCUGUAUUUAUCUCUCUGCUUAGCCCUGAGACGUAGGUGGGAUAAACGCUCCAGAGUUUCACGCGCCGGACGCCUGGAUGGCUGCCUCCCCCGAACCCUUGCCCCGCAUCAUCCGGCCAAGCAUCCCCUCUGGAGCAUGCGCCGUCCAUUCCUGCGAUCUGGCCUGCGGAGGUCCCUCCUCUCCGGCCUUUCAAGCAGAGACCUUCAUCUGACCCUGCCCGGCUACUGGGCAAGGCUCCGUUGCCCUGUGACACUGAAGGGCGAGGGAGCCACAGAGGGCUCAAGAGUCCCUGAGCAUCAGGGUUUACCGGAUGCGUGGUGUGAACUAGGCUCCAAAUGAAGAGCCUGGGAGGAGGGCCUCCGUCGCCUCGGUUACCCAGGUGGUUCCCAUCCCAAGCCUCUCCUUCAGCCCCCACAGAAAUGCGGAGUGGGGCUUCUCCUGGGAACGGUGGUCAGGGCUGCAAUGCCCGGACCUGGCUCUGCCACGCUCCAUGCUUCUGCUGAUGCACAGCGCCUGCCAGCGCAUCCUCUCCCUGCGCAUUCAUCAGGACCCACACCCAGGAACACACCCAGCUGCACCUUGUUUGAAAAAGAAAAAAGAGCUGCUGUAUGAAUCCCGCUUAGAAAACAGCUGAACCAGGCUCCUCUGUCCAUCGCAUUUUCAAGGCAAGAAUGCUGGAGUGGAUUGCCAUUUCCUUCUUCAAGGGGAAUCUUCCCGACCCAGGGGUUGAACCUGCAAUCUCCUGUAUUGAUCAUCACUGGAAGCCAUAAUGACACAGUUGGAUCAUCUGAGCUUUCUGCAUUCAGGGGUUAAUAUUGGAAUACAGUGGUGCUCACGGUGUGGUCCCUGGCUCACAGCACUAGCAUAACAUGGGCACUUAGACGUGUGAAUCCUUGGGUCUCACCCCAGACGCUGAAGCAGAUGUCGGCAGUGGAAGCCCAGGAACUGAUGCUUUAACAAGCCCUCCAGGAUAUCCUCCCACCUGUUAAAGUGGGAGAACCUGUGCUGUGUAAAUAAACACUGCUGAUUCUGGACCAGAUUCCUUUACCAGCUGGUGCUAUCACUCGUGAGUGUGGGGUGGGCAGCUAACAGCCCACAGUUACAGCCUUCACUAAACAAUUGUCCUUGGUUGAAAGCCCUUGCCCAGACAUGGAAACACGUCAGGGGUGACGCCACAACCUCCCCCAGAGUCAGGCCAACCAGUGACUGAGGUGGGCUGUAAAAGUCCAGCCCGUUAUCUCAAGACCUGGCAGUUCCGCAGCAGGGCUCUUCCGUGGACUCAGGCCGAGGUCAGACUUCACCUGAUGCCGAGUCCCUGGUUGUCUCCUUGCCUUUCCCUCUGCUCUCUUACUCCUUAUACAGCAUCCUACCUCAAUACCACCCAGCACUGAAUCCUUGUCUCAGGCUCUACUUUCCAGGCAAUCUGCUCACCUACAAUCAUAGGUAGAAGACCAUGGCCUGCGGGCCAGCCACCAGUUUGUGCAAAUAAAGUGUUAUUGGAAAAUAGCUGUGCCUGCUAUUUGUAUAUUGCCUAUGGC
ensembl:lncRNA